UACGUAGGGUGCGAGCGUUGUCCGGAUUUAUUGGGCGUAAAGGGCGCGUAGGCGGCUUGAUAAGGUUGCGGUGAAAGCCCGGGGCUCAACCCCGGGUCGGCCGUGGCAACUGUCGAGCUGGAGCACUGUAGAGGCAGGUGGAAUUCCGGGUGUAGCGGUGGAAUGCGUAGAGAUCCGGAAGAACACCGGUGGCGAAGGCGGCCUGCUGGGCAGUGGCUGACGCUGAGGCGCGACAGCGUGGGGAGCAAACAGG
rnacentral:rRNA from 1 species